GCCUGGGUGGCUUAGUUGGUUAAGCAUCAGACUUUGACUCAGGUCAUGAUCUCAUCGUUCUUUGUAGGUUUGAGCCCUGUGUCGGGCU
rnacentral:tRNA from 1 species